CACCGGGGGCGGGGCGGACCCGCGGGGCCCUAAACCCUCCGUUUCAUUGCGUCCCCGGGCACCUUGGGGUCAGGGGGCUGGACGUUCCAAUUAUUGCAUCUGGGACAAUUCAACUUCAAGCUGAGAUGCGAAGGAGGGCUUGUAGGGCAAGGGAGUUACCUGAUUGCACGAGUCACUGAAGGACCAAAAAAAUCUAGCAUGAUAACCUUGGAAAGGAGGAGAAAUAUUAGGACAGGAUAAAAGACAAAAGGAAAACCGUGUCCUGCUUCCCACAGUCAGCAACCAGCUCAAAGAAGUCUUCAGUUGGAGAGAAGUGUGAAGAUUUUAUGUUGAAAUAAAAUUUAGAAUUUUGAUUAUUAUG